AGGUUCAAUGCCUACUGUAUCGGAAUGCAUCGGAUGGAUGCCCGGGCAUUGAGAGGGAAGGACGCUUCCAAAGGCGAAAGGCCAUGGGGAGAUACCGUCCGUGAUCCAUGGAUCUCCGAUCGGGAAACCGUGUCCACAAACAAGACUUAGCGAACUGAAACAUCUAAGUAGCUAGAGGAAAGGAAAUCAACCGAGACCCCGUUAGUAGCGGCGAGCGAAAGCGGAUUGGGCAAAUAUCCAUCAGCGGAGCCCCCCCACCCAAUAUAGAGAAUCGAGAUAAUCGAAUUCCACCUGCCAACCCCCCCCAGAUAGAUAUAGAUAGGGCCCCGGGAGAUGGCUAUAGUUCUAACGGCCUCUAGAUAGUUCUAGUUCGGCUAGAGAGAGAGGGCCCUAUCUUAAUAGGCGUUCCCCUCUCUCUCUAUGUUGUCGCCAUCAGCCAUCAUCUAAGGGGGCAGGGGGGCCGGGGCUCUUCUUCUCUGUGCAAUUCAUUCACCGGCAUGUGGAUGAUGGAAGAACCGGGGGGAACUGUGAAAAGGUUGGAAGAUCUGGCCAAAGAAGGUGAUAGCCCUGUAGAUUGGUUCCUCCCUCCCCGACGGCCUAUAUAGUUUCUCUCGAACUCGGCCGAACAAAGAGAUUUCUAUGGUAUGGCGCCCUAUACUGAACAAAGAGAAUAGAUUUCUAUGGUAUGGCCCCGAUUCUAUAUGGGAUUGGAUAUAGAGGUUAUCCCAUAUAGAGAUAGGAGGGCGUCAGUCCCCCAUUGACUUCUAUAGCUAUAGUAGGGCGAUCGCCGGUAUUGUUCGAUUCUUCCCAGUAAAGUAAAACGCGGAGUGUUUGAAUCAGGGGGACCACCCUCUAAGCCCAAGUAUUCCUCAAUGACCGAUAGCGUACAAGUACCGUGAGGGAAAGGUGAAAAGAACCCUAGGAAAGGGAGUGCAACAGACCUGGAAUCCGAUGCGCGUAAACAAUCAGUCGGUCGCGGCGCGGGGCUAUAUCUGGCACGCAUCACUAGAGUCUAUAGUCUCCGGGGGUCAGUGUAGCGCUGAACGGCGUACCUUUUGCAUAAUGGGUCAGCGAGUAAAUGGGAACAGCGGCUUAAGCCAUUAGGUGUAGGCGCGACUACAAUUUACAGUCUAUAUAGAGGCUAUCGUAUAGUCUAGAUGGGAGGGGGAGGGGGAGGUCCCGGCCCCCCUCCCCCCCCCUGAACUAGGGGAAGCCCCAUAUCUAAAAUCAGAUAUGGGGCUCUAGAACUAUGGAUAGAUUCUAUAGAGGGCAGUUGUUCCUAUUUGACCCGAAACCGAUCGAUCUAGCCAUGAGCAGGUUGAAGAGAGCUCCAACAGGCCUUGGAGGACCGAACCCACGUAUGUGGCAAAAUACGGGGAUGACUUGUGGCUAGGGGUGAAAGGCCAACCAAGAUCGGAUAUAGCUGGUUUUCCGCGAAAUCCAUUUCAGUAGAGCGUGCAUGCUUAUGGCCCGAGGUAGAGCACUCAAUGGGCUAGGGUGGCCCAAAGCUUGACCAACCCCAAGGAAACUCCGAGUACAGGCCAUUUCAGUAAGCAGACAGACUUUGGGUGCUAAGAUCCAGAGUCGAGAGGGAAACAGCCCAGAUCGUACGCUAAGGUCCCUAAGCAGUCACUUAGUGGAAAAGGAGGUAAUCGAGCGAUGACAACCAGGAGGUGGGCUUGGAAGCAGCCAUCCUUCGAAGAAAGCGUAAUAGCUCACUGGUCUAGCUCCAUAGCACCGAAAAUGUAUCGGGGCUCAAGUGAUUCACCGAAGCGACGAGAUCCGUUCCCGGGAAGCCCCCGGGAAGCCCCCAUCACUCAACUCCAUUCUAUAGAUAGAGAGGUGGCCCCUCCCCCCCUCUCUAUAGAGAUGGGAGAUAGGCCCCCUAUACUAUAGAGAUUAGAGUCUGCGGUGCGGUAUGCGGGUCAGUAGCGGGACGUUCUGUGAAUCGGAGAAGGGACAACAACGUAGUUCGCUGGCGCUCUCUAUCCGGAGGGGGGCUUGCGCUCCUGGAGAUAUCAGAAGUGAGAAUGCUGACAUGAGUAACGAGAAUCAUGUGAAAAACACGAUCGCCUGCCAGUUCCAGGGUUUCUGCGUUCGGUCAAUCUACGCAGAGUGAAUCGGUCCCUAAGGAACCCCCGAAAGGGCUGUCUGCCGAUGGGUACACGAAAGUGACGAAGUUGCCCCGACUACUGAACCAUGGCCUGCACUCCACUGUCCAUAUCUCUGCCCCCCCCCCACCCCUAUAUGGAUUAGAUUAGAUUAGAUUCUAUAUCCCAUCUAUAUAGAGUUGCGGUCGGGCGGGGGGGCGGCUGAGAUAUGACAGUGGCCCCCCGGCACUAUAGCUGAUUGGAAUUGGGCCGCACCCCGGGGCGACUCUCGGGGCUAUAAACAAUUCUAUAGGGGGCCACUAUGGUACAGUACGAAUCUCGAACCCACUACGGUGCCCUAUCGGGGUGAAACUCUAUAGUAAGGCGCUGAGAUCCGAAAAGAUGCUGCACAUUUCUGUUCGGGUUUCAACUUCCAGGAAAAAACUUCGAAUUGGGAGGGCGAUCCUCCCCCUCCUUCGUCGGGAGAGUGUCUCUAUAGCAUAGCAUACAACACGGUUC
rnacentral:rRNA from 1 species